rnacentral:rRNA from 1 species
GACGAACGCUGGCGGCGUGCUUAACACAUGCAAGUCGAACGGUGAAGGGACCGGUUUUUGCUGGUUCUGGAUGAGUGGCGAACGGGUGAGUAACACGUGAGUAACCUGCCCCCUUCUUCUGGAUAACCGCAUGAAAGUGUGGCUAAUACGGGAUAUUCUGCGCCUGCUGCAUGGUGGGUGUGGGAAAGAUAUUGUUUCGGUGGGGGAUGGGCUCGCGGCCUAUCAGCUUGUUGGUGGGGUGAUGGCCUACCAAGGCGGUGACGGGUAGCCGGCCUGAGAGGGUGGACGGUCACACUGGGACUGAGACACGGCCCAGACUCCUACGGGAGGCACCAGUGGGGAAUAUUGCACAAUGGGCGCAAGCCUGAUGCAGCGACGCCGCGUGAGGGAUGGAGGCCUUCGGGUUGUAAACCUCUUUCGCCAGUGAAGCAGGCCUGUCCCUUUUGUGGGUGGGUUGACGGUAGCUGGAUAAGAAGCGCCGGCUAACUACGUG